UACAGAGGUCCCAAGCGUUGUUCGGAUUCACUGGGCGUAAAGGGUGCGUAGGCGGUCGGGUAAGUCUGAUGUGAAAUCUCUGAGCUUAACUCAGAAAUGGCAUUGGAUACUAUUCGGCUAGAGAAUCGGAGGGGGGACUGGAAUACUUGGUGUAGCAGUGAAAUGCGUAGAUAUCAAGUGGAACACCAGUGGCGAAGGCGAGUCCCUGGACGAUUUCUGACGCUGAGGCACGAAAGCUAGGGGAGCAAACAGG
rnacentral:rRNA from 1 species